UUAAGUUAUUAAGGGCGCACGGUGGAUGCCUUGGCACUAGAAGCCGAUGAAGGACGUUACUAACGACGAUAUGCUUUGGGGAGCUGUAAGUAAGCUUUGAUCCAGAGAUUUCCGAAUGGGGAAACCCAGCAUGAGUUAUGUCAUGUUAUCGAUAUGUGAAUACAUAGCAUAUCAGAAGGCACACCCGGAGAACUGAAACAUCUUAGUACCCGGAGGAAGAGAAAGAAAAUUCGAUUCCCUUAGUAGCGGCGAGCGAAACGGGAAGAGCCCAAACCAAAAAGCUUGCUUGUUGGGGUUGUAGGACACUCUAUACGGAGUUACAAAGGACGACAUUAGACGAAUCAUCUGGAAAGAUGAAUCAAAGAAGGUAAUAAUCCUGUAGUCGAAAAUGUUGUCUCUCUUGAGUGGAUCCUGAGUACGACGGAGCACGUGAAAUUCCGUCGGAAUCUGGGAGGACCAUCUCCUAAGGCUAAAUACUCUCUAGUGACCGAUAGUGAACCAGUACCGUGAGGGAAAGGUGAAAAGCACCCCGGAAGGGGAGUGAAAUAGAACCUGAAACCGUGUGCUUACAAGUAGUCAGAGCCCGUUAAUGGGUGAUGGCGUGCCUUUUGUAGAAUGAACCGGCGAGUUACGAUUUGAUGCAAGGUUAAGCAGUAAAUGUGGAGCCGUAGCGAAAGCGAGUCUGAAUAGGGCGUUUAGUAUUUGGUCGUAGACCCGAAACCAGGUGAUCUACCCUUGGUCAGGUUGAAGUUCAGGUAACACUGAAUGGAGGACCGAACCGACUUACGUUGAAAAGUGAGCGGAUGAACUGAGGGUAGCGGAGAAAUUCCAAUCGAACCUGGAGAUAGCUGGUUCUCUCCGAAAUAGCUUUAGGGCUAGCCUCAAGUGAUGAUUAUUGGAGGUAGAGCACUGUUUGGACGAGGGGCCCCUCUCGGGUUACCGAAUUCAGACAAACUCCGAAUGCCAAUUAAUUUAACUUGGGAGUCAGAACAUGGGUGAUAAGGUCCGUGUUCGAAAGGGAAACAGCCCAGACCACCAGCUAAGGUCCCAAAAUAUAUGUUAAGUGGAAAAGGAUGUGGCGUUGCCCAGACAACUAGGAUGUUGGCUUAGAAGCAGCCAUCAUUUAAAGAGUGCGUAAUAGCUCACUAGUCGAGUGACACUGCGCCGAAAAUGUACCGGGGCUAAACAUAUUACCGAAGCUGUGGAUUGUCCUUUGGACAAUGGUAGGAGAGCGUUCUAAGGGCGUUGAAGCAUGAUCGUAAGGACAUGUGGAGCGCUUAGAAGUGAGAAUGCCGGUGUGAGUAGCGAAAGACGGGUGAGAAUCCCGUCCACCGAUUGACUAAGGUUUCCAGAGGAAGGCUCGUCCGCUCUGGGUUAGUCGGGUCCUAAGCUGAGGCCGACAGGCGUAGGCGAUGGAUAACAGGUUGAUAUUCCUGUACCACCUAUAAUCGUUUUAAUCGAUGGGGGGACGCAGUAGGAUAGGCGAAGCGUGCGAUUGGAUUGCACGUCUAAGCAGUAAGGCUGAGUAUUAGGCAAAUCCGGUACUCGUUAAGGCUGAGCUGUGAUGGGGAGAAGACAUUGAGUCUUCGAGUCGUUGAUUUCACACUGCCGAGAAAAGCCUCUAGAUAGAAAAUAGGUGCCCGUACCGCAAACCGACACAGGUAGUCAAGAUGAGAAUUCUAAGGUGAGCGAGCGAACUCUCGUUAAGGAACUCGGCAAAAUGACCCCGUAACUUCGGGAGAAGGGGUGCUCUUUAGGGUUAACGCCCAGAAGAGCCGCAGUGAAUAGGCCCAAGCGACUGUUUAUCAAAAACACAGGUCUCUGCUAAACCGUAAGGUGAUGUAUAGGGGCUGACGCCUGCCCGGUGCUGGAAGGUUAAGAGGAGUGGUUAGCUUCUGCGAAGCUACGAAUCGAAGCCCCAGUAAACGGCGGCCGUAACUAUAACGGUCCUAAGGUAGCGAAAUUCCUUGUCGGGUAAGUUCCGACCCGCACGAAAGGCGUAACGAUUUGGGCACUGUCUCAACGAGAGACUCGGUGAAAUCAUAGUACCUGUGAAGAUGCAGGUUACCCGCGACAGGACGGAAAGACCCCGUGGAGCUUUACUGUAGCCUGAUAUUGAAAUUCGGCACAGCUUGUACAGGAUAGGUAGGAGCCUUUGAAACGUGAGCGCUAGCUUACGUGGAGGCGCUGGUGGGAUACUACCCUAGCUGUGUUGGCUUUCUAACCCGCACCACUUAUCGUGGUGGGAGACAGUGUCAAGCGGGCAGUUUGACUGGGGCGGUCGCCUCCUAAAAGGUAACGGAGGCGCUCAAAGGUUCCCUCAGAAUGGUUGGAAAUCAUUCAUAGAGUGUAAAGGCAUAAGGGAGCUUGACUGCGAGACCUACAAGUCGAGCAGGGUCGAAAGACGGACUUAGUGAUCCGGUGGUUCCGCAUGGAAGGGCCAUCGCUCAACGGAUAAAAGCUACCCCGGGGAUAACAGGCUUAUCUCCCCCAAGAGUUCACAUCGACGGGGAGGUUUGGCACCUCGAUGUCGGCUCAUCGCAUCCUGGGGCUGUAGUCGGUCCCAAGGGUUGGGCUGUUCGCCCAUUAAAGCGGUACGCGAGCUGGGUUCAGAACGUCGUGAGACAGUUCGGUCCCUAUCCGUCGUGGGCGUAGGAAAUUUGAGAGGAGCUGUCCUUAGUACGAGAGGACCGGGAUGGACAUACCUCUGGUGUACCAGUUGUCGUGCCAACGGCAUAGCUGGGUAGCUAUGUGUGGACGGGAUAAGUGCUGAAAGCAUCUAAGCAUGAAGCCCCCCUCAAGAUGAGAUUUCCCAACUUCGGUUAUAAGAUCCCUCAAAGAUGAUGAGGUUAAUAGGUUCGAGGUGGAAGCAUGGUGACAUGUGGAG
rnacentral:rRNA from 1 species